AUGACUAGUGUUCAGCUCAAUUAGGACAAACCCUGGCACUUAGCCAUGCAGGAACAAUGGCAAGCCUUUAUCCUGAUCCAGAGUGGCAACAGGCGCCUUGCUGGAUCAGAAACGCAGUGGACACCCUGCCAGAUCCGGAGGGGAGAAGUCAAGGGAGGGUCUGGGACGACAGACAACAGCGGUGGUGGACGGCAAGCGAAAGCUCAGUUUGAGCCAUCACAAACACAGACCAGAAGAGUGCGCAGUUGCAAGAUUUAACAGGGUGAAAACAGAGCUCCCAUACAAUGCCAGUGGGUCCCUGUUGUGAGGACGGCAUGGGAGAGAUGACUUCCUUCCAGCCUAAGGGAUUGGGCACCGAAGACAGCACAGACAAGCAUCCUUGGUCAUUGCAUGGAAUAGAACAUUUCAACAGCUCAAACACACUGGUAAUGCUCCAGGAGAGGAAUGAAUGUUUCCUUCCCAGACAUGUCAUUUUGUAUUAGCAGAAGCUGGACAGCUUGAGGAUUAUUGCUUGUAUAUCUGGAAUUAAAUUUCUAGCUCUCCGAAUGCUCAUCCUUUAUAGCAGUGCCAUGUUCUCGGGAGUUUAGCCAGUAAUAGUGUUUGCUGCCACAAUAGAUACAAGUUGUUGGAAGCUGGUCACAUCCACUCUCCUUCUUUACUGAACAUAAUGAAUGAUCACCCAUUGCGUGGAUAACAAAGCAAUCAGGAAGUAAAACCUUUCUUGUUCUUUUUUGGCUCAAUGAAAGGCAAUACACGUGCUUGCUAACAACUACAUGGCCAAAGAAAACACUCAAAUAAACCUGCGAGUUUGUUCUUGCUUGGGGAGCAGGAGAAGUUAAUGCCAUGAGGCCAUUCUAAAGUGGACCAGAAAGUUCCUUCCUUAUGUUUGAAAAAAUUCAUUUUAAAAAGAAAGGCUGUGGUGUCCUUGUGGAAUACACUCGUGGGCUUUCAGUGUGAGACGCCUUCUGGGAGCCAUGAUCAAGCCUGGACUUUGAAUAAGGCAGCUGGAGAGUGGAGGAUUCAUGGAAGGUACACUUUGGAGGAGGAGAUCUAGAAACUUUGUUAGUGUGUAUGAUGGGAUGUAAUAGCAAUCAAUUACAUAUCAAUAACUAGGGUAAAUUUUCAACAUUAUUGUUGAUAAUAGAAACCGAUGAGUUACCUACGCAAAUAAUAAUUUAAGAAAGGUUAAUUUUUGUUGUGGUUCUAUAAAAAUAAUGCUGUUUACCCGAACUGAUCCAUGCUCUUCACCAUUUAUGCAAGAUUAUCUUGCAGAAGCAUAGCAAUUAUAUACAUCACUAAUGUGGUCGGGGCUCUUGAGUGAAUUCUGUUUCAUUGGCAUUAAGCACAUUCUUCAGUGCUAAACAAUGAGGUAGCUUCUCAUGUUGUGUGAUAUUUAACAAAUUUAGCACAUUGAAAAGGCUCUCUGGGGUAAAAUAAGAUGUUUGUAAGUUGACAUUUUGUAUAUUUUCCUAAGCCAAUGUAAAUACUAUACAAAGAGAUGGCAGUGAGGCUUCUGCAAGGUAUCAAUACAACCUCAAAUGACUAAGUGCAUGGCAUUUUCUAAAUUUUUAAAAUUACUUCUUGAAUACUUAUUAUGCCCUUAUUCCACACCAGGUAGUGGAGAUAUAAAUAGAGAUCGUUUCUAUUUCCAUUAAGCUUUAAAACUUAGUGGAAAGAAAACUGACUUUAAUCAAAUAAUGCUACCAAGAUAUAAUGUAAGUGAUAAGUGCAAAGAAGAAAAAGCGUUAAUUGUAGAGCAUCUAUACUUGGGAAUCCUAAUACACUCUGGAAAAUAGCUGAAAAGUUUCUUUGAGAUCAUGACAUUUGAAUUGAAAUCUCAAGUUCAGGGACUAGAAAUGAGGAUCUGAACCAAGAGAGGAGCUUUUUCCAGGACAGGAGUUUGGACAAUGUGAAGCACUUGAGAAGAUGGAAGAUGGUGAAUGUGAGCUGAGGCGAGUGGAGAGGGAGAGUAGAGGAGACAAGGCAGAUAGAGCAGACACUUGAUCGUGAGGGACAUGGGAGGCCAUGCCACGGACUUGACCCUUUCUCUUACCUGUGAUGACUCGUCUGAGAGACUUUAUGCAGGAGAGCAGCACGAUUGCCUUUGGAAAUGGCCAUCAGGCAGCCAUGUGGAGUCUCUAUUGCUCAGAAGACAGCAGGACACCACCUGGAAGCAAUUCCGAGUAAGACACAGUGCUCAAGACAAUGUUCGGAUUAACCCUACAUUCCACCAAUAGGUAUCAAGGACUCCCGACGUUUCAGGCAUGGCACGGGGAUUGGGACAGAGCAGUGGGAAAAUGACAAAGGCCCUGCUUUUCAUUCUAGUGGGUGUGUCAAGGGCUUAGAAGAUCAGUAACAAAGGACAAUGUGGGAGAGAAAAGAAUGGAACAAAAAAAUGACAGGAAUGAAAGUAGAUCUCUGCGUUUACACUGGGGAAAUGUCAAAGUUCUGAGGGGAAAGGAGAAAACAACAGUGAACCCUACUCUGAACCAGUGUCAACAAUUAAUUAACAAAGUAUAGAAAUUAGCUGAUUUUUUUUUGCAUGUGUACCCUGUAAGAACAGGAGAGGAAUUUUAUUAGAACCCCCUUUUCUAGAGGGAUAAUGGCCGGGCUGUUCAUUUUCUGUGAUUUGCAGUUCUGUAAAUAUAUUUAUAAUGAUCAUCAACUCUAUAUCUAGCCUACAGAUUCACAACUCAAAUAUAGUAAAUAUGGAGCAUCUGAAAAUGCACAGCUGCUGUGUUUACUAAAGCACUUAUUACAUAAAAAUAAUAUCUGUUAUUCAAUUGG